rnacentral:rRNA from 1 species
CGGGUGAGUAAUACAUCGGAACGUGUCCUGUAGCGGGGGAUAACCUCUCGAAAGAGAGGCUAAUACCGCAUACGACCUAUGGGUGAAAGAGGGGGAUCGCAAGACCUCUCACUAUUGGAGCGGCCGAUGUCGGAUUAGCUAGUUGGUGGGGUAAAAGCCUACCAAGGCUACGAUCCGUAGCUGGUCUGAGAGGACGGCCAGCCACACUGGAACUGAGACACGGUCCAG